AGGGUUGUGGCUCAGUGGUAGAGCGCUUGCCUGGCAUGCAUGAGGCAUUGGGUUCGAUUCUCAGCACCACAU
rfam:Ictidomys tridecemlineatus contig034224, whole genome shotgun sequence.